rnacentral:rRNA from 1 species
AAAUUGAAGAGUUUGAUCAUGGCUCAGAUUGAACGCUGGCGGCAGGCCUAACACAUGCAAGUCGAACGGUAGCACAGAGAGCUUGCUCUCGGGUGACGAGUGGCGGACGGGUGAGUAAUGUCUGGGAAACUGCCUGAUGGAGGGGGAUAACUACUGGAAACGGUAGCUAAUACCGCAUAACGUCGCAAGACCAAAGAGGGGGACCU